AUCUGGGUGUGCAUCUACUCGCUUAAUUGAUUUCAUAACUAUUCAUUCUUGAAGACAUGGGAGUCAUCAAAAUGCUAAGCCUAUUAUGCCUGCUACUGCUCAUGCCACUUCUUUUAGUUCUUGGUAAAGGCUUGGAAGCCAAGACUUGCGUUGAACAUAGCAGGACCUAUCAUACUAUAUCAUGCAAGGUGGAUCCAUGUGUUGAGGCCUGCCACAAGGAGGGAUUUACUUAUGGGUUCUGCUCCCCCUACCCCCUUAUAAUAGUUUGUUUCUGCGUAAAAAAAUGUUGAAUAAAAAUCAUGCUGCGACUAUCAUAGGAUAUGUGAUGUAACAAAUAAUAAGGUUAUGUAGUAUGAUGAAUUGAGAAUGGGCAAUGACAGAAGUUGAGUGUC